rnacentral:lncRNA from 1 species
UAGGAGAAACUAAGGCUCAGCGUAGCCUUGGGCUUAAAUUGUCCAUCCCAACAAACACAGCCUGGUGUUAAAUAGCUCAAGAGAUGAUGGUUGUGAAACAAUAGUAUUUAGCCACCCAUAUGUGUGCGUGUGUGGAUCAAGACAAACAUAGCCUUUGGCUUAAAUUAUCCAUCCCAACAAACACAGACUGGCGUUAAAUAGCUCAAGAGAUGAUGGUUGUGAAACAAAUGGUAUUUAGCCACUCCCCUGUGUCUGUGGAUCAAGACAAACCAUAGUUAGGGCAUUAAUGUAAUGAGCAAGACCAAAAAUAUUGCAUCCCUUGCCCACUUAAGCAUGGCAUCAUGUCCACGGUUAAAUGACUUCUAAGAAUAUAUUUUUUUUUGAUAGAAAUGACCCCUAAGUUUAAUCAGUCAAGGCUCUUUUCUCUUUAGGGCUCACUCCUUUGUCCAAGUCUUAAUUACUUCUCCUCCGGUUGUUAUGUAACUGACCACGUUGCUUCUUUGACCUCCUAUUUUAUGUGGACCAUACAAGCAUGUGUUUGGUUCCAUAUUAGCUAUUCGUCAGAGAGAUUUUGGAUACUUAUACAAAAUCAAAGAAUGUAAAUAAUAUCUUCUGACUAGCCUAUUUGGAUGAAAUCUUGGGUUGUGACAAAUGGUAUUAGAGCGAACCUAGUCUAUGGCCCAUGUGGACUAGGAGAUACUGCAACAUGGACUCAUGGAGACCGACCACAGACUGAUUGUGGUAUUUGUGAAUAAAUUUUAAUGGAUUUAGACUCUUAGCCUGAUGAGGACAUCAAAGUUUAAAUAGAAACAAU